rnacentral:rRNA from 1 species
AUGAACGCUAGCUACAGGCUUAACACAUGCAAGUCGAGGGGCAGCAUGAACUUAGCUUGCUAAGUUUGAUGGCGACCGGCGCACGGGUGAGUAACACGUAUCCAACCUGCCGAUGACUCGGGGAUAGCCUUUCGAAAGAAAGAUUAAUACCCGAUGGCAUAGUUCUUCCGCAUGGUAGAACUAUUAAAGAAUUUCGGUCAUCGAUGGGGAUGCGUUCCAUUAGGUUGUUGGCGGGGUAACGGCCCACCAAGCCUUCGAUGGAUAGGGGUUCUGAGAGGAAGGUCCCCCACAUUGGAACUGAGACACGGUCCAAACUCCUACGGGAGGCAGCAGUGAGGAAUAUUGGUCAAUGGACGAGAGUCUGAACCAGCCAAGUAGCGUGAAGGAUGACUGCCCUAUGGGUUGUAAACUUCUUUUAUACGGGAAUAAAGUGAGGCACGUGUGCCUUUUUGUAUGUACCGUAUGAAUAAGGAUCGGCUAACUCCGUGCCAGCAGCCGCGGUAAUACGGAGGAUCCGAGCGUUAUCCGGAUUUAUUGGGUUUAAAGGGAGCGUAGGCGGACGCUUAAGUCAGUUGUGAAAGUUUGCGGCUCAACCGUAAAAUUGCAGUUGAUACUGGGUGUCUUGAGUACAGUAGAGGCAGGCGGAAUUCGUGGUGUAGCGGUGAAAUGCUUAGAUAUCACGAAGAACUCCGAUUGCGAAGGCAGCUUGCUGGACUGUAACUGACGCUGAUGCUCGAAAGUGUGGGUAUCAAACAGGAUUAGAUACCCUGGUAGUCCGCACCGUAAACGAUGGAUACUAGGUGUAGGAGAUAUUAAGUCUUCUGUGCCGUCGCAAACGCAAUAAGUAUCCCACCUGGGGAGUACGGCCGCAAGGUUGAAACUCAAAGGAAUUGACGGGGGCCCGCACAAGCGGAGGAACAUGUGGUUUAAUUCGAUGAUACGCGAGGAACCUUACCCGGGCUUGAAUUGCAACUGAAUGAUGUGGAGACAUGUCAGCCGCAAGGCAGUUGUGAAGGUGCUGCAUGGUUGUCGUCAGCUCGUGCCGUGAGGUGUCGGCUUAAGUGCCAUAACGAGCGCAACCCUUAUCGAUAGUUACCAUCAGGUUAUGCUGGGGACUCUGUCGAGACUGCCGUCGUAAGAUGUGAGGAAGGUGGGGAUGACGUCAAAUCAGCACGGCCCUUACGUCCGGGGCUACACACGUGUUACAAUGGGGGGUACAGAAGGCAGCUACACGGCGACGUGAUGCUAAUCCCGAAAGCCUCUCUCAGUUCGGAUUGGAGUCUGCAACCCGACUCCAUGAAGCUGGAUUCGCUAGUAAUCGCGCAUCAGCCACGGCGCGGUGAAUACGUUCCCGGGCCUUGUACACACCGCCCGUCAAGCCAUGAAAGCCGGGGGUACCUGAAGUGCGUAACCGCAAGGAGCGCCCUAGGGUAAAACUGGUGAUUGGGGCU